UGGAGUUUUUUAUUUACUGUUAUUUUUGUAUAUUUGUUUACUGUUAUAUGUUAACUUGAUACUGAAAUAGUAGUUUGUUUAGCCUGAGAGGAUUUUUGAAAAAUUUUGGAACUAAUGUUCAAAACAUUUAACUCAUUUGCUCCCAAAAACGUAUAAAUACGUUUUAUUUUUGUUUCAGUGUCCCAAAAACGUAUUUAUACGCCUUUUACGUUUUUUUUUCACAAGACAAAUGUCUAGGUUCUGAUGCAACUUCGCUCCAGAGCACAACGAUCAAAAUCCAUUUUAAAGCAAAAAAAAACUGGCCACUGGAGGGCAGUAGUGCAUUUGGUAAGAACUCAUAACGGACCAUGAAAGGAAAUGAAUAAAGAGAAAUAGUCAGGAAACGGAAGUUGGAAGAAGCGUGAGGAAAAAUGUGGAGAACGAUGUAAAACACAAGGUACAUGCCCCACCCAAGUUCCCUAGGUGAAUUCUGUUAUGAGGUAGUGGUCACUACAAAAGAAAGAUUCAAAAAAAUAUCUUGAUGAGAGAGGCGGUAAUGACCAAGUUCCCUAGGUGAAUUCUGUUAUGAGGUAGUGGUCACUACAAAAGAAAGAUUCAAAAAAAUAUCUUGAUGAGAGAGGCGGUAAUGACGGAAGAAUUUACCCCGUCUGCCGAUAAAGCCGCAGCCACAACAGCGUCAUCUCUCUGUUCAAUAGUUUGGUUAUGUGUAAAUAAAUUGUUACCUUCCUAACAAAAGCUCUAUUUGUCCUGUUGUUUAUGUUAUUUUGUAGAAAGAAAACAUUAUUCAGAUGUUUGGGAUGUCACAAAAGCAAGUAAUAGCCGUAUUAAAGUUAUGUUUGAAAUUUUUGCCUUUACAAAAAGCUCAUUUUCUCCGUUUUUUCAUCAGAAAUUGGAAAAUUGCUCAAACUAAGCUAUUUUCUAAUGCUGAUUUCUAAAGAAUGGAAAAAGAUCUGAACUACCUUUUUUCCUGCUGAAAGAAGAGUAAUCUUUCUUUUGGUGGGUUCCAUGUUUAUAUAGCAAUAGAACAGAACUUUCUGUGGGCCUUGCAAAAUCAGUCAAAAUCCAGUAAAACGGCCGGGAGCGAAGGGGGUUGCUCCGGUAAAAAUGGCUGGGAGUGAAUGAGUUAAAAAAAAAAAAAAAAGGAGGGGUGUGCAUCAAUAAUAAUUUUAUAAUCGAAUCGAAGCCUCUGAAUUGUAAUCGUAAUCGAAUCGUUAGGUGCCCAAAGAUUCCCAUCUCCAGUUAAAUCCCGCGGUAUUCCCGGUGUUUUGGAGUGUGUGAAAGGGGCUUUAGAUCAUCAUUUUUUCCCCCAUUUUUCUGGUAUUUUAUUUUUUUAUGUUCCUUAUCCGAUUACUCAAUUAUUCGAAGUAAGUAGUUCAUCGAUUAAUCGACUACUAAAAUAAUUGAUAGCUGCAGCCCUAGCGGAUAUAUUCUUUCCUGAUUCUAAAACCAAAAUUUACACAGAGUUGUGGAAGGGAAAAUAUCACACCUUUAAUGGGAAGUUGUAAUCUGGACUGAUUUUUAUUGAAAUGGGCGGAUUUCAAAGUAUGAUAAAGCUGGAGACCUUCUUUCCCAUUUGGCAACCCAGUCAGCAGGGACAUUUAUGAUAUAAGCAAGGACCCGUAGGACGGGCUGGGCUUUCGCGACCAGUCAUCACGCUUUCUCGCCUCCGAAUUCCUUCAUUGUGUCUGAAUUACACAAUAACUACCCCCUCGCCACCCCGCAGCCCCGAGACUGCCAGAAAUUUCGGUUGCGGCAGACAUUAUGCAAUGUGUGGCAAAAUCGAAACAGUUUGUUCCGCUUUGUUUGUGUGUAAACAUCGACGUAACAGGCUGAACAGAGACAAUGUGGGCAUUGAUUCUGGUACAUGACAUCAUUGCCUCGCUUACUCAUACACAGGCUUGAUCGACGCCCUAAAAAGAAAGUCCACCUUUGAGAUACACACAACAGAAACUGAAGUGAUGGUGCUUAUAAAGAACUUCCUGUGAGUGUGUACUGUGUACAAUGAAACAUUCUGACGGCCACCAUCGCCCCAACCAGUUUUUGGGUUGCACCACUGUGUCGCAAUCCGUAAACUUAUCACAGGGAACAAGGCCUACGUGACUUUACAUAGCCGAUACGUGACCAUAACACUUAAAAACGUUGCACGAUUACAAAUAUUAAGGUUCAUAUUUUAUGCGUAAAAGCAGACAGGCGAAACGUAUAUCAUUACACUGCUCACUAUCAUAUCUUCCCUUUAUUUUGAACAACAAUUAGGUUAAAGUCUGAAAACUGUUACGCUAAAAAUAAAAUGAAUAUUAAACCAAACAAACCCCUUUGCAUACAUUAAAGACAACAAAUCUAACAAAUUAGCCCGCAGAAGCAUUCGGUAGUAAUGGUGUAAAUUCGAUUCUACUGUACUCACAUUUUAGCCAAGACUCGUUUAAAAUAGGUCUCGCUCGUUGUCGUCAGGGCAGAAGUCACACGUCACCGAUGUAUUUGUCCACCCAAACGUGAAGCAAUAUCUGGGUCGCCUAUUUAUUACAAAAAGCAAAGAACCACAUUUUCCUCUUGAUUUUUUUCCCUUUCAAUGUGGCUCAUUCCUGACUCAUGGAUCUGUGUUAGUAGGUCAGGAGUUAAGUGCAUUGGCAGUGUGCCUGCUGAGUGACAGCCAUGUCAGCCAAUCAAAUUCAUGCAUUUUAAAACGCCAGCCAAUGACAAUCGUGAAUAAUGGAGGGCUCAAAUAAGAUAUCAAAUCGUCACAAUGCCAACCACCAGAGCGGCCAUAAAGCAAUCAUAUGAGCUUUUGUUGCUACACCAGGGAGUAUGGUGUGAAGCUUUUUGGAUUUUCAAAAGAUCCUGUUCACCGUAAAUAAUGGGCGAAACAAGUCCAAAAAUCAAGAGACCAUUGGAUGGACGACUAAGUGAGUAAGAGGAAGAAGAAUGAUGAGUACCAUUCCAAGAACACCAUCCCUACUGUGAAGAAUGGAGGUGGCACCGCAAGUCUCUCACAGUGGACAAGCACCUACCAUGAACAUUUCAAACCCGCCCAUCAUUUUCAAUAGGUUUCCUACCUGGUGUUUGUGCUGGCUCAGGAGCGCCAUCUCCAUAUCUUGGUUGGGCGAGCUGCUGAGCUGGCAGCGAGGAGGUGUGUUGGUUUCUGCUUUUUGCUUAUUUCGACACAUGCAAACCAAAAAGAAGAGGCAAGCAAUAACCAAAGGAAUGGCAAUCGCAGGGUUGAAUAUGAGCUCUGCUGCUGCAUUCCAACAGCCUGCUGCCUUGCCAUGAAAGGGCCCUUUGAGAGCUGAGUGGCCGAGACGUGAGUCCGUCUAUUGGGUAACAGAGAAGAUAGACGGAGAGACUUGAAGUUCUACCGUAUUCUGAGAGACCCGAAGAGGAGAGCGAGAUGGACUGCUGUAAUUCGACAAGAAAUCUGGGCACCAAACGAUCACCACAGACUGCAGUAGUCAUUUUAUAUCUGCAGGAUGGUGCUCCAUCGCAUACUUCAUACUCAUACAGUGGGGCAAAUAAGUAUUUAGUCAACCACC